rnacentral:rRNA from 1 species
UACAGGUGUUGCAUGGCUGUCGUCAGCUCGUGUCGUGAGAUGUUCGGUUAAGUCCGCUAACGAGCGCAACCCUCGUCGUAUGUUAUAUGUGUCAUACGAGACUGCCGGUAAAAGCCGAGGAAGGUGAGGAUGAUGUCAAGUCAGCAUGACCUUUAUAUCCAGGGCUACACACACGCUACAAUGGUCUGUACAAUGGGUAGCCAAGCCGCGAGGCGGAGCCAAUCCUGAAAGCAGGCCUCAGUUCAGAUUGCAGUCUGCAACUCGACUGCAUGAAGCCGGAGUUGCUAGUAACCGCAGGUCAGCAAUACUGCGGUGAAUACGUUCCCGGGUCUU